rnacentral:rRNA from 1 species
AUGCAUGUCUAAGUACAGACUUUCACACGGUGAAACCGCGAAUGGCUCAUUAGAUCGGUUAUUGUUCCUUAGAUCGUACUCAGUUACUUGGAUAACUGUAGUAAUUCUAGAGCUAAUACAUGCAACCAAGCUCCGCCCGCUCGCGCGGGAAGAGCGCUUUUAUUAGAACAAAACCAAUCGGGUCGCAAGGUCCGUCCGCUUGGUGAAUCUGAAUAACUUUGGGCUGAUCGCAUGGCCUCGAGCCGGCGACGUAUCUUUCAAGUGUCCGCCCUAUCAACUUUCGACGGUCGGUGACAUGCCUACCGUGGUCUUAACGGGUAACGGGGAAUCAGGGUUCGAUUCCGGAGAGGGAGCAUGAGAAACGGCUACCACA